GAGACCGAGGAGCGCAGCGCAGUCGCGGGGCUGGCGGCGCCCACCCCCACCGCCCCCGGCUGAAGAGACGGCCCGGCCUCCUCCCGCCGGUAGCGGCUGCGAGCCCGACUGGAGCUGCCUCCCUCCAAGGGCCAGGGACGCCCGCCCGACCUCCGAGCACAACGAGCCGCCCUGCAGCCUCCCGCUUCGGCUGAGGAACGGCGGCCGCCGUCCAAUCGCCCGCUUCCUCCUCUCAGAGGCGUUCAGUGGGAGCUUCCCUCAGCCUCCGCGGCCCCGCGCAGCCACCCCCGCUCGCCCCUCCUCCUCCUUCUUCUCCUCCUCCUCCUCCCUCGCUGUAGCAGUGGAUUGCUUUUGUUGUGAUCCAAAUAAAGUUGUAAUUCUGAGUAUUUGGUAACACCAUUUGUAGGAAUAAACAUGACAGAUCAUGUCAAAGAUUUGCAACUGUUUGCUCAGGUGCAAACCUCAGAAUGCAAGGGAUGAGAUUAGAAGGCCUGGUCUGCUGGGCACUCACCUCUUGCCAGAAGCUCUGCUGCUGAGUGCCAGGAGACAACCAGCAUUGAAUGAGUAAGCAGAGGAGCUGCUUUGGGACACUAAAACAUGGAGGUGUGCUGUUACUGCCAAACCUGAUGAUCUUUAUUUGACUAUGCAGGUACUCAACAGGCAUUGAGUACUUCAGUAUUACUAAAUUAGGUACUAUGCUACAGUAUUUCUCAGAAUACACACAGCAUAUUGCAAGCAUUUUCAAAAUAUAACCAGAUAUUACCUGCUUGUGAGGUGUGAGAUACACUGCGUAACCUUACAAAAGAUGCACAAAGACUCAGGGGAAAGGGUGAAAUAUGAAAAGAGCUUAUUCACCAGGGUCACUGAAACCAUUCUUCUCUGGCAUUAGAACUUCAAGCCGAGUUGUAUGAAGAUUUCUCUUCCCCCCAAAUGAAAAGGCAGGACUUCCAGGGCUUCUGCCUGGAAUAUAUGAAAGCAUCAGUAUGAACUUCAGAACUCUCUGGUGAAGAGACUUUAUGCAACAGGAAGGGUGGGCAAGGAGAAGACAGGGGAGGUAGUGCAGCCGUGUCCAAUGGGGAUGUAUGGGCUGGCACACAGCCAUGGCUGCAGGGAUCUGGAUAAGGUCUGGAGUUCUGCACAGAAGCCUUCACGCACUGAGAUCAUAUUUGAGAGCUUUUACAGAAUCAGAGAAAAAUUAAAGACAAUCCAUCAGCAGUAGUCUAAAAAUGAGAACUGCAGCUGAAGAGGUAUUUCAAAAUAACAUUUAAUAUUAUUAUUAGAAUUACAUUCAAACGUAGCAUUGAAUACAAUUAGCCAUUAUUUAAUGCUCUGUAUUUAAAGUUCUGCUGUUCUUUGGCAGUUAUCUCGGUUGCACCCACUGUAUUUUUCUUCCGUUCAGGAAAAUGAAACCUCUGACUAUUUAAAUACUUUUCCCUCUACGUAUCAUGCACUGUUGCUAUGCUAUCUCAAAGCUGAAGUAUGAAAAAGAGAAAACUAAGCUUGAAAACAAGCAAAAACUACGUCACACAGCAAAGGCAUUUUCUCUCCAGCUCUUGCUACUGAGUUUGAGGCGAAAGUUUAUCAGAUGUAUCUACAGUUAGGUUGUACUGCUUUGGUAGUACAACCCUGUUCCUUCACGUGGAUUUAACUGUGGUACUGUAAGAAUUAAAAUGGCCUAUGCAGAACAUGAAUGAAGUUACACUGUUAAUGAUACCUUUAAGCAUAUUCAGUGACGAGUCUCUGCCAUCCAAGUAAGACUAUUUCAAUUGAGCCCAUUCCUUUUUGUUCAGAACCCUUUUUAUAAUGAUACAAGACGUGCAGGCCACUUAACGCAGCAAUCUGCAGAAUCACAGAGCAAAGGCAAAAGUACUCACAGAAGGCAAGAGGGAAGCAAGUGCUAUUCUUGCAGAAGGUAAGAUCGUUUUAGAGUUCCAAGCAGCUCAGUCGCAGAUUCAGUUUUUAAUGUUUACUGUCACAUCCUGGGUGGUGGGAUGGUGAUGUUUGAUUCCAUGCACAUCUGAAGCCCUGGCAGAUAGAAGGGGACAUUCCCUUCCAAAGGGAAGGAUGAUAAAACCCUCCAUCAAAGUUAGCGCUUUAUCACCUUUUGUUAGCGAGGAAACUAAAUGAAGACACGGGUUUAGAGCUUAGAGGAGAAUGCAAAGCAAAAGGUUUAGUGGCAGAAAGUUGUCUUAGAUUUUUUAACAGCAAUUCAAUAGCAUCUCAUGAUUUUAAAACAAGUCCCUAAGCAUGGAAUGCAGCCACCAAAAAGCUAAAAGUCGAACUACCAAGUCAUCCUGAGUAUUAGCAAUAUUAUUAAAAAAAAAAUCCUUGAGUUUAUGUAAGCAAUUAACAAAACUAUUUAAAAAUAUCCUGUUCCAACUUUCAAGUGAUACUUAAAAAGGAAUAUUUUUUCAUUUGUGCUUAUUCCAACAGCAUUAGAUUGUUAACAAAUUAUAUUCAUACAGAUAAUUCACAUCCCUAGUACUGCACAAUCACACCUCAUUCUAUUGCUUUCCUUAACUGCCAACAUUCACAGAAACUUUGAAUUUAGCACAAGCCUAUAAUAUUACCUUCAUACAGUGUUACAGUUGUAAAGCACGUUGCUUAGCAUUUCAUGAGUUCAGUUUAUAAUCCAAAGACAGAUUCAUAGAUCUGUAGGUAAAAAACACUGCCAAGUAACCUUCCCUAUUUCAUGUGUGAGUUUUGAAAAAAGAAAUAAAAAUAGAAAUCCCUGAUCUCACAACCUAACAACCGUUCAUUAGUUAAACCAUUCAUUUGGCAUGUCCUUUUUUCUUUUUUUCUUAAUUAGGAUAAAAACCUACCAGAAGUGAUGAAGUCCAAUACCAAGCAUAUUUACCUCGGUUGAGAUGUUUCAAAUAACACAAGUACCGGUCUGCGGGUUUGUCUUAUAAAUCCAUUUAUCUGGAGGCAAAGUUGUUUAAAUAUAGAAGCGGACAAAGCUUUUCAUCAUGAAAGCUAUGAUAAACUUCCCUUCCAGACAAGUCAGCAUUGCAAAUCAAGUCAGAAAACCCAAUAAAUACGAAAACCCCAAUGGAGUCCACCUCCUCAUGGAAAGAGCGUUCAUAAGCUUUUUGGUGUAUGUGUGGCUAUGGUGGUGGUACUUAUCCACUAACUGUCAGAAGCGUCCUUCAGACAAGCAGCUUCAUUGUAUGGUAGCAGAACUAAUCACGGUCUCUUCCAGGUCCUGAAUGAUGGAAGCGGUGCAGAUCCAAAAGAAGCUGCACCAUGAACAUUAUCGUAGUCAUGGUACUGUGAAUGACAUCCCUCCCUCCUUUGGGAUCAGCCAAAUAUAUUUAUUUGUAUAAAAAGUGUUCCUUAAAAAAUGAACUUUCCUUUGAAUUAGGCUGUGGGUUUACAGGAAUUUAUAUUUUUAGAGGCUUAUCUUCAUUUAACUGCAUUUCGUAAGUUGCAAGGUGAUCUUAGCCACUGAAAAAACAAAGUUCUUUCAUUUAAGAACUGAAUUAGAAUGUUCUUUAAUUAGCUAAUUAAAAUCAAAAGCCCUCAAAGUAGUGCAAAUGAUAAAAUGUUACUGCAUAGGUUGGUCAUUUACGCAUGUACUUGUCUUUUAUUUAGGAAUCACUGAUCCUGAAGAACGCUCUUAUAAUACAAAGCUGAAAUUACAAACAUGGUAAGUCUGCAGUUCUUUGCGUAAUAAGGCUUAUAAAAUAGAUCUGUUUGAAAUUUAAAUUAUCUGUUUACAGGUUGCUAAGUUUUAGGAGCAGUUCAAGGAAGGAGAAAUAAGGGGGUUUUAACUUCAAGACAUGGCUUUUCUGCAAACUGAUUGCACACUGACAUGCAAUAUUAGUUUUUUCUCAAAUUUACUUUCAGACCACAGUUCCAAAAGUAGUGUAAAAUACUUACUUGAGAAAUUACUGGAUAAAUGGUACAGUUGCUACUUUCACCAAGUUAAAAAUCUUCUACCGUUAUUUACAAAUCUCUUUAAUCCUUCACAAGGAGAAGAAGUAAAAGAAUGCAGUAACAAUGGUAAAUUACCACUAAGCUGUACAUCCUCCUUCCUGCCUCCCCAGAACACGAAGAAUCCUGCUUUUUAUCACCACUGGGAAGCUUGAAUUAUUGCAGCACGUCCCAUAAAAGCAGGAAGAAAACCUCAAAUGUAGUUUCAAAAUGG